rnacentral:misc_RNA from 1 species
UUUCCCGCUUCUUUAUUGGAGCUAUUUACCCGAUUCUUCUUCACUUCUGGUUCGUCAAUGGCCACUGAUACUGGGUGGGUUCACCUCCAGAUCCGUGCUGUUCGACGGCUGUAAUGGGCUUGUCUCCCCUUCUUCUUCUUAUUAUUGUUAUUACUAUUGUUAUUCUCUAUUUCUGGUUCUUCAAUGGCUGCUGCUAAUGGGUGGGUUUACCUCCAUAUCCGUGUUGUGCGACGGCUGUAAUAGGCUUGCAUGCCGUGUUGUGCUAUGAACAUCGAUGGGCGACGGCUGUGCUUGUGGAAUCUCCUGUGGCUUACCAUUAAGAUUGAUUCAGUUUUGCGAUUGUUUGUGAAUUGUGACUUUGUGUAGUUGCUGAUUGUUAAUGAAACUGGUUGAAAUUUGUCCAAAUUGGUUGCUGUCUACUGAAAAAACCGAUGAAUUGGUUGAAAAGUUGAAAUUAGCUGCAGAGUGACUCAAAUGGAUGAACCAAAUCGAAUAAAUAAAAUCGAUUGAUUCAGUUUCAAUUUUUAUUCAAUUUAGUUCCAUUUAUAUAAUUUUAUAUUUCAAAUUUUCGAUUUUUCCUAUUGAGUUUGGAACUGAAUCGACUAUUGCGCCCCUCUAUUUGAAGUUUCUGAAGUCUCAUAAGCUCUUAUUGGCAGAUGCAGUUGAGCAGACCAUACACCCUCCUUUUAUUAUCGAAGCAGACCAUCGGGUAAGAUUCAGAACCACUAGACUGAUUGUAAACUAAUUAACAUCGGGUAAAUGUUUUUGCUGAUAUAAUAGCUGUAUCUGAUAUUUUUUGUCAUUUUAUUUUUAAUGAUCCUACCAAAAAUGAAUUAGAAGACAAUAAGGAAGAAUUAUUGGAGCUUGAGAAUCCAACUGAAAUUGGCAAUUAGAGUAAAAUUGCCAUUUCUUAUGUAGAAAUACUAUUACAGAAUGGCAGAGAACCCCUGUAUAGGAGUACUAGUUAUUGUACUUUUAGACAUAGAGACCGUUGUGCCCAUUGGCCAUUUUCUUCAUGGAUUCGAAUCUGGGGCCCUUAUCCAUAAACUUUGUGGUGGAAUAAAGCUUUAGGUAAUCUUGAAAACUGUAGCUGUUAGGGUACAAAAGUUUGGGUGCUGGAGAAAUAAUGGCAUCGCCUGCAGGAUUGUAGAAGGUGGCAAUGGAGAGUCUACUUCCAUUCUUGUCAGCCAUGACACGGUGCAAAGCACUUUUAUACCUUCCAUUGCUCAACACUUCCAGUUGAUCACCAGUAUUGAUGAAAAUUCUGUUGUUCUUGGAUGGUGGGAUCUCUACCCAUUCUCCAUCCUUGAAGAAUUCAAGACCUGGGACUUGAUCAUCUUGGAGCAAAAGUAUGAUCCCCCCAGCAUCUGUGUGCUCUCUAAGUCCUUUCACAAGCUCUGGCUGAGGACAUUGUGGGUACUUGGCCACUUUUGUUCCCACAGAAGGACCUCUACCUCCUUUGAAUGCGUCCUUUAUAUGAUCUUUCUCCAAACCAAGGUUCUCAGAUAUGAGCUCAGAAAUCUUCUCUGCUAGCUUUAUCAGUCGAGUUAUGUACUCAUCCAUUGAUUUGCUGAAUGUAUAAGUUAUUUAUGAGUCAACGUAGUAUAAUAAAGUAAAAGUUUAAGUAGUUUCAGCAUCCCAUGACUUACCAAAAAUCCUGUGGCAGGUUUGGGAUUUCAUUGAUGUUGGACGUUGGACGGUGCCAAAUGAAGUAAGUGCUCUCCCAGUCUAUAUCAGAUGUAUUACCAUCAAUAUUCAAGCUUUUAGCUAUUGCUGAUUCAUAGAAGCUUUCCUUCAAGUUUACUUCAUAGUGAGAAUUCACCAACUGCUUUACUUUCUCCAUCAAUUCCUUAUCAAUUCCAUGGUUCUCAACCUGCAUACAUUCAGUAAUAUUAGAAUAAAUAAAUCAUUAAUUUGAUUUUAUAUAAAGAGACUCUCAUUAUUUGUACCUGAAAGAAACCCCAUUUCUCACAAGCUUCAUGCAGAAGUCCCAUCAUUUUGCUCCUGUUCUCACCAUUGAAUUCACUAAAAUCAAUCACUGGUAUCUCCAUCUUCUCCUUCUCUUCUUUCUAGUUUAGAUUGUAAAAAAUAGGCAAGUUAGAGAAGUAUAUAUAGGCUUAAGACCUGAGGGCAUAAUGGGGAUCUGAUAAUCUGUUAAUUAAUAUUUUAUUAAUCAGUGUAAUAGUUAGUUAAGUUGUAAGUUAACCAUAGUUUGAAAUGGUUGGAAACUGUGAAGAUUAUUAAACGCAUAGGUCUAUGUUCAAUUCAUGAUAACUACCAUGUGAUGUUGUUCAUUUUUAACUUAUUUCUGAUGAUCUAAACGAGUCAAUAAGAUGACUUGCAAACCAAGCGUAAGACUUUCCAAAUAGGGUCGAUCCGGCCCCUUGUAAUUCUCACCUUCUAAUCAUUAUUAGUUUGGGCAAAUCUGUGGGCAAUGGAGGCAUUAUUGAUCUCAAAACAGCCAAAGGGAAACCGUGGGAUGGGAUCCCACAAAGGCUACCAGUGGGCGAUUUUCCCUGGAAAUUAAAUUGUUCCACUGAGAUAUUGGUAGUGGUCUGCGUCUGCUUCAUCUUUGUCCAUUAUUGGCUGCUUGUCCUAUGUUAGUUAUCGAAAAUAAAUUUUCCUAUCCAAAGUUGAUUCUUUUUCCAAAUGAAGAUGUUUGUAUUCUCGCUGCUUGGGUUUCUUGCAACUUUUGAUCCUAGAUUGCUGUCUUUUAAAGGAUUUCUGAAGGACACAAACUAGUAUAGAAAGUAGAAACAAACUGAGCAAUCAUGUGAUUUAUCAAUUUUUUUUAUUGCUCUGGACAGGGAUAUGCCGUAUUUGUUUUAUACUUCUUGUUUAAUGUUGGCAAUUUUGAAUAUAAAUCUGAA